rnacentral:lncRNA from 1 species
GGAGUUUUAGAGGAGAUGAUUGUGGUUGGUUGCUAAGGAUUGAUUAUAUGAUCUAAGAUGAUGUUAAUUAUUGGUUUUCGGUGUUGUGGUAAGUUUCUGAUUGAUCUUUCUGGUAUUUUUAAACUGAUGUGUUAUAUGUUUAUAUUUGAUCUAUAAAUUUGGGCUAAGUGAUUAUAUUUUGAAUUGAUUUUUGUUCUCAUAUAUGUGCGGUGUUGACGAUGAUUUCGGAACUCUCGAUUUAUGCCAUGGUUUGUGAAAAUAAGAAUAAGAAUAAGGACCGAGUCACCGGGUUAUAGUGACAGUUUUCAGAAAAUUCAGGACCGUUAUCACCGGGUUGUAGUGGUCGUGGUAUAAACUAUGAGUUCUGAGUUAUUGUUCACCAUGUGAUUGUGGCAUCGAAUAAGAAUAUGAAAGUGUUUUGAAAGUAUUUGUUGCGUAUAUUGUUAUCGUAUGAUAAAAAAGUAUAUUUUAUCUUAUGUGUAUACAUGUUACUUGGCCCGACUAGUUGGAUCAAUUAGUUGCUUGUUGGGCUGUAUAGCUCAUUACUCACAAUUUUCAGGUUUGAUUUAAGAGCGAGAGCGAGUUGAUGUGCAUUGGAAUUGGGGUUUGAGGAUAUUAGAUUUGGAGUAGCUUGACGUUUGAACUUCCGUUAGCUGCGCAUUUGUAAUAGUUACCUUUGUAAUAGAAUUUUAGAUUAAUAAAUUGUGUU